rnacentral:rRNA from 1 species
GAUCCUGGCUCAGGAUGAACGCUAGCGGCAGGCUUAACACAUGCAAGUCGAGGGGCAGCAUUUGGGUAGCAAUACCUGAGAUGGCGACCGGCGCACGGGCGCGUAACGCGUAUGCAACCUACCCAUAACAGGGGCAUAACACUGAGAAAUCGGUACUAAUUCCCAUAACAUUCGAAGAGGCACCUUUUCGGGUUGAAAACUCCGGUGGUUUAUGGAUGGGCAUGCGUUGUAUUAGCUGGUUGGUG